GACGAACGCUGGCGGCGUGCUUAACACAUGCAAGUCGAACGGACAGGCCCUGCUUUUGUGGGGUGCUCGAGUGGCGAACGGGUGAGUAACACGUGAGUAACCUGCCCUUGACUUUGGGAUAACUUCAGGAAACUGGGGCUCAUACCGGAUAGGAGCUCCUGCUGCAUGGUGGGGGUUGGAAAGUUUCGGCGGUUGGGGAUGGACUCGCGGCUUAUCCGCUUGUUGGUGGGGUAGUGGCUUACCAAGGGUGUGACGGAUAGCCGGCCUGAGAGGGUGACCGGCCACAUUGGGACUGAGAGACGGCCCAGUCUCCUACGGGAGGCAGCAGGGGAGAAUAUUGCACAAUAGGCGGAAGCCUGAGGCAGCAACGCCGCGUGCGGGAUGACGGCCUUCGGGUUGUAAACCGCUUUCGCCUGUGACGAAGCGUGAGUGACGGUAAUGGGUAAAGAAGCACCGGCUAACUACGUG
rnacentral:rRNA from 1 species